AAUCAACGCUGGCGGCGUGCCUCAGACAUGCAAGUCGAACGAUUAAAGCUCCCUUCGGGGAGUGCAUAAAGUGGCGCACGGGUGAGUAACACGUAAGUAAUCUACCCUCGGGUGGGAAUAACGUCCGGAAACGGACGCUAAUACCGCAUAAUGCAGCGGCACCGCAAGGUGACAGUUGUUAAAGNUUUAUUGCCUGGGGAGGAGCUUGCGGCAGAUUAGCUUGUUGGAAGGUAACGGCUUACCAAGGCUACGAUCUGUAUCCGGUCUAAGAGGACGGUCGGACACACUGACACUGAAUAACGGGUCAGACUCCUACGGGAGGGCAGCAGUCGGGAAUUUUGGCAAUGGGCGCAAGCCUGACCCAGCAACG
rnacentral:rRNA from 1 species